rnacentral:rRNA from 1 species
GACCUCAAAUCGGGUGGGACUACCCGCUGAACUUAAGCAUAUCAAUAAGCGGAGGAAAAGAAACUAACAAGGAUUCCCCUAGUAACGGCGAGUGAAGAGGGAAAAGCUCAAAUUUUGAAUCUGGUGUCUUUGACGCCCGAGUUGUAAUCUAGAGAAGUGUUUUCCGUGUCGGACCGUGCACAAGUUCCCUGGAACGGGGCGUCAUAGAGGGUGAGAAUCCCGUAUAUGGCACGGACUGCCGAUGCUCUGUGAUACACUCUCAACGAGUCGAGUUGUUUGGGAAUGCAGCUCAAAAUGGGUGGUAAAUUCCAUCUAAAGCUAAAUAUUGGCGAGAGACCGAUAGCGAACAAGUACCGUGAGGGAAAGAUGAAAAGCACUUUGGAAAGAGAGUGAAACAGUACGUGAAAUUGUUGAAAGGGAAGCGUUUGAAGUCAG